rnacentral:rRNA from 1 species
UUAAGUUAUUAAGGGCGCACGGUGGAUGCCUUGGCACUAGAAGCCGAUGAAGGACGUUACUAACGACGAUAUGCUUUGGGGAGCUGUAAGUAAGCUUUGAUCCAGAGAUUUCCGAAUGGGGAAACCCAGCAUGAGUUAUGUCAUGUUAUCGAUAUGUGAAUACAUAGCAUAUCAGAAGGCACACCCGGAGAACUGAAACAUCUUAGUACCCGGAGGAAGAAAAAGAAAAUUCGAUUCCCUUAGUAGCGGCGAGCGAAACGGGAAGAGCCCAAACCAACAAGCUUGCUUGUUGGGGUUGUAGGACACUCUAUACGGAGUUACAAAGGACGACAUUAGACGAAUCAUCUGGAAAGAUGAAUCAAAGAAGGUAAUAAUCCUGUAGUCGAAAAUGUUGUCUCUCUUGAGUGGAUCCUGAGUACGACGGAACACGUGAAAUUCCGUCGGAAUCUGGGAGGACCAUCUCCUAAGGCUAAAUACUCUCUAGUGACCGAUAGUGAACCAGUACCGUGAGGGAAAGGUGAAAAGCACCCCGGAAGGGGAGUGAAAUAGAACCUGAAACCGUGUGCUUACAAGUAGUCAGAGCCCGUUAAUGGGUGAUGGCGUGCCUUUUGUAGAAUGAACCGGCGAGUUACGAUUUGAUGCAAGGUUAAGCAGUAAAUGUGGAGCCGUAGCGAAAGCGAGUCUGAAUAGGGCGUUUAGUAUUUGGUCGUAGACCCGAAACCAGGUGAUCUACCCUUGGUCAGGUUGAAGUUCAGGUAACACUGAAUGGAGGACCGAACCGACUUACGUUGAAAAGUGAGCGGAUGAACUGAGGGUAGCGGAGAAAUUCCAAUCGAACCUGGAGAUAGCUGGUUCUCUCCGAAAUAGCUUUAGGGCUAGCCUCAAGUGAUGAUUAUUGGAGGUAGAGCACUGUUUGGACGAGGGGCCCCUCUCGGGUUACCGAAUUCAGACAAACUCCGAAUGCCAAUUAAUUUAACUUGGGAGUCAGAACAUGGGUGAUAAGGUCCGUGUUCGAAAGGGAAACAGCCCAGACCACCAGCUAAGGUCCCAAAAUAUAUGUUAAGUGGAAAAGGAUGUGGCGUUGCCCAGACAACUAGGAUGUUGGCUUAGAAGCAGCCAUCAUUUAAAGAGUGCGUAAUAGCUCACUAGUCGAGUGACACUGCGCCGAAAAUGUACCGGGGCUAAACAUAUUACCGAAGCUGUGGAUUGUCCUUUGGACAAUGGUAGGAGAGCGUUCUAAGGGCGUUGAAGCAUGAUCGUAAGGACAUGUGGAGCGCUUAGAAGUGAGAAUGCCGGUGUGAGUAGCGAAAGACGGGUGAGAAUCCCGUCCACCGAUUGACUAAGGUUUCCAGAGGAAGGCUCGUCCGCUCUGGGUUAGUCGCGUCCUAAGCUGAGGCCGACAGGCGUAGGCGAUGGAUAACAGGUUGAUAUUCCUGUACCACCUAUAAUCGUUUUAAUCGAUGGGGGGACGCAGUAGGAUAGGCGAAGCGUGCGAUUGGAUUGCACGUCUAAGCAGUAAGGCUGAGUAUUAGGCAAAUCCGGUACUCGUUAAGGCUGAGCUGUGAUGGGGAGAAGACAUUGAGUCUUCGAGUCGUUGAUUUCACACUGCCGAGAAAAGCCUCUAGAUAGAAAAUAGGUGCCCGUACCGCAAACCGACACAGGUAGUCAAGAUGAGAAUUCUAAGGUGAGCGAGCGAACUCUCGUUAAGGAACUCGGCAAAAUGACCCCGUAACUUCGGGAGAAGGGGUGCUCUUUAGGGUUAACGCCCAGAAGAGCCGCAGUGAAUAGGCCCAAGCGACUGUUUAUCAAAAACACAGGUCUCUGCUAAACCGUAAGGUGAUGUAUAGGGGCUGACGCCUGCCCGGUGCUGGAAGGUUAAGAGGAGUGGUUAGCUUCUGCGAAGCUACGAAUCGAAGCCCCAGUAAACGGCGGCCGUAACUAUAACGGUCCUAAGGUAGCGAAAUUCCUUGUCGGGUAAGUUCCGACCCGCACGAAAGGCGUAACGAUUUGGGCACUGUCUCAACGAGAGACUCGGUGAAAUCAUAGUACCUGUGAAGAUGCAGGUUACCCGCGACAGGACGGAAAGACCCCGUGGAGCUUUACUGUAGCCUGAUAUUGAAAUUCGGCACAGCUUGUACAGGAUAGGUAGGAGCCUUUGAAACGUGAGCGCUAGCUUACGUGGAGGCGCUGGUGGGAUACUACCCUAGCUGUGUUGGCUUUCUAACCCGCACCACUUAUCGUGGUGGGAGACAGUGUCAGGCGGGCAGUUUGACUGGGGCGGUCGCCUCCUAAAAGGUAACGGAGGCGCUCAAAGGUUCCCUCAGAAUGGUUGGAAAUCAUUCAUAGAGUGUAAAGGCAUAAGGGAGCUUGACUGCGAGACCUACAAGUCGAGCAGGGUCGAAAGACGGACUUAGUGAUCCGGUGGUUCCGCAUGGAAGGGCCAUCGCUCAACGGAUAAAAGCUACCCCGGGGAUAACAGGCUUAUCUCCCCCAAGAGUUCACAUCGACGGGGAGGUUUGGCACCUCGAUGUCGGCUCAUCGCAUCCUGGGGCUGUAGUCGGUCCCAAGGGUUGGGCUGUUCGCCCAUUAAAGCGGUACGCGAGCUGGGUUCAGAACGUCGUGAGACAGUUCGGUCCCUAUCCGUCGUGGGCGUAGGAAAUUUGAGAGGAGCUGUCCUUAGUACGAGAGGACCGGGAUGGACAUACCUCUGGUGUACCAGUUGUCGUGCCAACGGCAUAGCUGGGUAGCUAUGUGUGGACGGGAUAAGUGCUGAAAGCAUCUAAGCAUGAAGCCCCCCUCAAGAUGAGAUUUCCCAACUUCGGUUAUAAGAUCCCUCAAAGAUGAUGAGGUUAAUAGGUUCGAGGUGGAAGCAUGGUGACAUGUGGAGCUGACGAAUACUAAUCGAUCGAAGACUUAAUCAA